GCCGAAGUGGCGGAAUGGCAGACGCGCCGGAUUCAAAAUCCGGUGAGGGUAAUCCUCAUGUGGGUUCGAGUCCCACCUUCGGUA
rnacentral:tRNA from 1 species